rnacentral:rRNA from 1 species
AUACGAAGGGGGCUAGCGUUGUUCGGAUUUACUGGGCGUAAAGCGCACGUAGGCGGAUUGAUUAGUUAGGGGUGAAAUCCCGAGGCUCAACCUCGGAACUGCCUCUAAAACUGUCAAUCUCGAGACCGCAAGAGGUGAGUGGAACUCCUAGUGUAGAGGUGGAAUUCGUAGAUAUUAGGAAGAACACCAGUGGUGAAGGCGGCUCACUGGUCCGGUACUGACGCUGAGGGGCGAAAGCGUGGGGAGCAAACCGAAUUAGAAACCCCAGUAGUCC